GGGUGCGUGGUCUAGCGGUAUGACGCCCUCGCCUCCAGACCCACUGGCAUCCUUGGAAAAGUAGCUCCCCUGGCCCAGGAGCUGCUUCUCCAAGGUAAAGCUAGGGCUGGGUGAUGAGGGAGACGUCGGUUCGAUCCCGACCGUGUCCA